CUUGGCUGUUCUCCUGACACUUAAGUCAGAGCAUUCUGUAGCUGUAUUUUACAGAACUGUAAUUGCACAGAUUGUUCCUCUUACAAGAGAAAUAUCCAGAGCUCUAAGAAAACAACUGAUGAAAACGUAAGAAGCAAGAAAAUCCACCAUAAGCUCUGAGGAACAAUCACACCAGACUGAGCAUUUUUAUUUCUUGAGCCUUUGCCUAAGAAAGAGUGUGGAUCAUACUUUCUAAUACAGUCAGGAUGGAAUAUCAAAAUGUGAAAGGCUCAGUGCUGCCUGUCGGGAGCACUGCUUCGAGGAGACCGAUCCAGAGAACUUUCAGCCUAGGGAGUACGGCGCGCAAACCCAGCUGAGGUGAAAGUCUCAUUGGGGAGCAGCUCCCAGCACAAACUGCUGAAAGGCUGGCCGCAGCCCUGCUGCCCAGAUUUCUUCUUCAGCACUCUCUAACUCCCUAGAGCUUUUAAAAUGUCCCCUGUGGUCACUCUGUAUACCAGGGAAGACAAACGGGUUUGGCUUCAUGCCUGCAUUGGCAGUGCUGGGUGCCUCUUCAUCCUUCUCUCUCUCCUCUUUUUGGCAGAAAAACCCUUUUCAAAUAUCCAAGCCCCUUCUUCUCUAUAAAAAAUAAGACAGAUGUGAGCUAUGAACAUCGUUACUGGUGAAAAAAUUAAGAUUUAGGAAAGGAAAUAUCUGUCCUCAUCAUUUUGCCAGAAGAGCAGAGUAGUUACAGUCAUGGACUUUAACUCAAAAUCCACAGAAUUUGAGUCCUGGCUUCCCACUUACUGAUUCCGUGACCUUGGGCAAAUACUUAACCUCAGUAAGCCCCAGCUUCUUAUUUAGGAAAUGGGGAAUAACAUGUACCUCAAAAUUUAGGGGAAUAAUGCAUGUAAAGAAUAUGCCAUUGUGUCUGACAUAUAUUAAAAUCCAAAAUUACAGUAAUUUUUGUGAUUAUAAAAAUGAUGGUGAUAACAUGAAAGUAACUAAUUAAAUAAAAUUAUGUAUAUU
rnacentral:lncRNA from 1 species